rnacentral:rRNA from 1 species
CUUCUCUCUUUGAGAGAUUGGCCUACUUCUCUACUAUCCAACACAGACUACGGAGAGUACGCACUCUGUGCUACUUGUCCGGAUUGGAACCAGAGUUGUUGGCUCUUCGGAGCUGACGACUUUGCUUCCUACCCUUUUUAAACUCUUAACUAUUAUGAAUGUUAAACCAUUGUCUUCGGACAUAAACAAUAUACAACUUUUGACAACGGAUCUCUUGGUUCUCCCAUCGAUGAAGAACGCAGCGAAAUGCGAUAAGUAAUGUGAAUUGCAGAAUUCAGUGAAUCAUCGAAUCUUUGAACGCACCUUGCGCCCUUGGGUAUUCUCAAGGGCAUGCCUGUUUGAGUGUCAUAACAAUCUCAACUCUCAACUUUUUUGUGAAAGAAGGUUGCUUGGAGUUGGUGAUGGGCGUUUGCCAGAUCUUGCAUCUUGCUCGCCUGAAAUUGAUCAGUGGAUCUUUCUGAGUCCGGUCUGACUAUGUGUGAUAAUUUGAUCGCAUAGGAUGUGCUUGCACAACCGGAUCUUAACAUGAAGUUCUGCUCCUAACACGGAAUGGCCAGAGAGUAACUUUCUGCCAUCGUUAGCUAUAUUGUCUGACCUCAAAUCAGGUAGGACUACCCGCUGAACUUAAGCAU